GUGCCAGCAGCCGCGGUAAUACGUAGGUGGCAAGCGUUGUCCGGAUUUAUUGGGUUUAAAGGGUGCGUAGGCGGCCCUGUAAGUCAGUGCUGAAAUAUCCCGGCUUAACCGGGAGGGUGGCAUUGAUACUGCAGGGCUUGAGUGAAGUCGAGGUAGGCGGAAUUGACGGUGUAGCGGUGAAAUGCUUAGAUAUCGUCAAGAACACCGAUAGUGAAGACAGCUUACUAGGCUUAUACUGACGCUGAGGCACGAAAGUGUGGGGAUCAAACAGGAUUAGAUACCCUGGUAGUCC
rnacentral:rRNA from 1 species